GUUAACUAUUUAAACAAAGUUUUAUCUUUUUGGUUGUCUUUUGACAUUUUUAAACUUUUUUGGUAUGGAAAAAAUUAAAACCAUAAUGACAUAAAUUUCUCAGUCUGAGUCUGCUGCACUACACUGUUAUGUUGAAUUCGUUUUAUUUGUUGGGAAGAAAUAGAGAUGUGAAAUGAAACUUUAAGUUAAGUGGGCGGGGGUCGGCAGCUUUUCCGUUUCGCCUCCCAAGCGGAAAUUUCUGAGAAAAGCCGUAAGUUCUGUUUAGUUCUCUGUAUGUGGGUCUAGUCGAAAAGUAAAGGGACCAUUGCCCGACCUGGGUAGAGCGACGUCCUUCGGUAUGUGACGCGCGCGACUAACCAAUCGUUCACACUGCUAUACUAUAUACUGUAUAAUAUAUAAUAUAUUAUAUAUUAUACAGUAUACAGUUGUCUGUAUAUCUUCAUGUAUAUGUGGGUAAUAUGGUCAUGUUAUUUUAUUAUGCUGAUCGAAAUAUAUAAUUCGUCAUGGAACAUUUGGUUUUUUAUAUUUUUUGAUUUGUUGCCAUUUACGAUUGCGAUUUCGACAGAUUUACGUAUUAUACCGAUAGAAAAAGAGAAAGGACCGUGAAUAAUAAAAUAUAAUAGUAAAAAACGUUACGAGAUGUGGGAGAGAAUUUUAAGACGAUUAACUUUCAGACUAUUACUCAAGUAUCGAUAAAUUUCAAGCUCUUAAUCUCCAGACUGUAUAAUAUCUCUACGGCAAAUAAAAGUCGUUACAAGUAUUGAGAUCAAGUACUUUGAGAAGAAGAUCAAGAAUAAGAAGAAGAAAAGUCACUUGG